rnacentral:rRNA from 1 species
AAAGGUUGACCUCGGAUCAGGUAGGGAUACCCGCUGAACUUAAGCAUAUCAAUAAGCGGAGGAAAAGAAACCAACAGGGAUUGCCUCAGUAACGGCGAGUGAAGCGGCAACAGCUCAAAUUUGAAAGCUGGCUCCUUUCGGGGCCCGCGUUGUAAUUUGUAGAGGAUGCUUCGGGUGCGGCGCUGGUCUAAGUUCUUUGGAACAAGACGUCAUAGAGGGUGAGAAUCCCGUAUGUGACUGGUUGCCUGCGCCUAUGUGAAGCUCCUUCGACGAGUCGAGUUGUUUGGGAAUGCAGCUCAAAAUGGGUGGUGUACUUCAUCUAAAGCUAAAUAUUGGCCAGAGACCGAUAGCGCACAAGUAGAGUGAUCGAAAGAUGAAAAGCACUUUGGAAAGAGAGUUAAACAGUACGUGAAAUUGUUGAAAGGGAAGCGCUUGCAAUCAGACUUGCACAGCGUCGAUCAGCCUGGGUUCUCCCUGGUGCACUCGGCGCUGUUCAGGCCAGCAUCAGUUUCGGCGGUUGGAUAAAGGCUUAGGGAACGUGGGUCGCCUCGGCGACCGUUAUAGCCCUAGGUGCAAUGCAGCCUGCUGGGACUGAGGACCGC